GUGAAUCAUCGAAUCUUUGAACGCAUAUUGCACUCUCUGGUAUUCCGGAGAGUAUGCCUAUUUGAGGGUCAUUUGAAAUAAUAUAAAUUUCAAGAUUUCUCGGCAUUUAAAAUGGGUUGUCUAUUUUUUGUGGUCGCUUAAAUUCGAAGAUAAGCAUAUUUUCUUGGGUUGCGUGAUACUUUCAAUUACCUCGUGACUUAACCAGGAAUCAUCGGGUGUGUUAUGAAUUUUGCAAGAGAUAAAGAAU
rnacentral:misc_RNA from 1 species